GAUGAACGCUGGCGGCGUGCCUAAUACAUGCAAGUCGAGCGAACAGACGAGGAGCUUGCUCCUCUGACGUUAGCGGCGGACGGGUGAGUAACACGUGGAUAACCUACCUAUAAGACUGGGAAAACUUCGGGAAACCGGAGCUAAUACCGGAUAAUAUAUUGAACCGCAUGGUUCAAUAGUGAAAGACGGUUUUGCUGUCACUUAUAGAUGGAUCCGCGCCGCAUUAGCUAGUUGGUAAGGUAACGGCUUACCAAGGCAACGAUGCGUAGCCGACCUGAGAGGGUGAUCGGCCACACUGGAACUGAGACACGGUCCAGACUCCUGCGGGAGGCAGCAGUAUGGAAUCUGCCGCAGUGGGCGAGAGCCUGACGGAACAGCGCCGCGUGAGUGAUGAAGGUCUUCGGAUCGUGAAACUCUGUUAUUAGGGAAAAACAAAUGUGUAAGUAACUAUGCACGUCUUGACGGUACCUAAUCAGAAAGCCACGGCUAACUACGUG
rnacentral:rRNA from 1 species